CCUACGGGAGGCAGCAGUAGGGAAUAUUGCUCAAUGGGGGAAACCCUGAAGCAGCAAUGCCGCGUGGAGGAUGAAGGUUUUCGGAUUGUAAACUCCUUUUGUUAGAGAGGAUAAUGACGGUAUCUAACGAAUAAGCACUGGCUAAUUCCGUGCCAGCAGCCGCGGUAAGACGGAGGGUGCAAGCGUUACUCGGAAUCACUGGGCGUAAAGAGCGCGUAGGCGGGAUAGCAAGUCAGAUGUGAAAUCCGAUGGCUUAACCAGAGAACUGCAUUUGAAACUGUUAUUCUAGAGUAUGGGAGAGGUAGGUGGAAUUCUUGGUGUAGCGGUAAAAUCCGUAGAGAUCAAGAGGAAUACUCAUUGCGAAGGCGACCUCCUAGAACAUGACUGACGCUGAUGUGCGAAAGCGUGGGGAGCAAACAGGAUUAGAUACCCGGGUAGUC
rnacentral:rRNA from 1 species